rnacentral:lncRNA from 1 species
GUAGUUCGCGGGAGGUUGUGAUCAUUUAUAUUUUCAGAAGUCUGCCCUUCAUCUGUCUGUUGGUGGCGUUCUUUUACCUAAACAGAGACAAAAAACACGUCACAUCAUCAAGACCAGCAGUUGAGCAUGCUGUUGAGCAAGGACCAGAUGAAGACCUGGAGGCUGGAGAGACACAGAGGAAUGAAACUGAAGAGGUGAAACAGGGUGAGAAUAUUUCAGAACAGGAGAAAGGGAGGGUCAACAACGAGAAACCUGAAGUUACUGUUGCAACAGAAGAAGAAAAACAGACUGCCGUAGUUGUGAGCAUUGAACAAGGUGCAUCUCCAAUGCAUGACAAUGAAAACAAGAGCAUUUCUGUUACGAACACUGAUGAAAAGACACAUCUAAUGACUGUUUCUGUGCUGGCCGACUUAGUUGCAGCUCUGUGAGACACACAGGAAAUGGAGCUAUGGGUGUGCUGUUCAGGUCUAUGAUGUCACUUCCUGCAUGAUAGCUUGUUUGCAGACUCAUUAUGGUUUGCAAUGACUCUUACUGAAUUCUGAAAGUAGAUAAAAAUAAAAUAUGUUAAUGCAUGAACCUUUCUGUGUGAUUGUGUAUAUGGUUGUGCUCAGUGUGUCCGAGGUGACUCGAGUAUGAGAGCAGUGUUGUGGUUUACUCUGGGCUUCGCUGUGAUAAAAUUAGUUGUGUGGGGAGGGGGUGAAAAUCUGAGAGUACGAGUCUCUCGUGCGUGUGAAAGAUUGUGAUCUGGGAGUAAAACAGAGUUCAGAUUCUCUGCAGAUGCUCAGAAAUGAAGUGUUCCUCUAGACUCCUGUGUGGACUCCUCAUGUCAUGCCUUUGUUUCAGAGGUUCAUAUGAGGAGCUGACUGUGAUUCAGAGCCCAUCUAGUAUCACUGUGAAUGAAGGACAAUCUGAUCAAAUCAGCUGCUGCUGGAAUAAAACAAAAGAAGAAAACAAUGAUUUUAAAGUAGUUUGGUAUAAGGAUAAUGAAAGAAUACCGGUAGAAAAGCGGCUAAAUCAAACGUCCCCUAUGAAAAACUGCUCCUUUCUGAAAAUCAUAAAUAUAGGUAAAAAUGACACUGGAGAUUAUGUUUGUAAAGUGAUUCAGGACAUACCAGUUCUGCUAGAAUAUGAGGGACAAAAAACAUACCUGAAUGUCAGUAAAGGUGAACACAGGACUGAGGCAACAACUCAAAACAUCAUUGCAGGCAGUGCUAGUACAUCUUCCUACAAAACUCAAAGCAAUGGGACUACCGGCCCCCCUUCAACUCCCAUCCUGCCUCUAUCUCUGGGCCUGGCUGCUGCCAUCGGCCUGCUGACCCUCUGCUUGGCCUUCAGUGUGUGCAAGAUGAGAAACUCCUGUAAAAAAUCAGAGCGAGUGGUCAUUCACCAGACGCCACACAGUGAGGGUGAGGAGCAUGAGAACAUGGAAGAAGAGGAAGGUAGCACAGGCUCCUCUCGAGGAUCCCUACAAUGGUAUCAAGUGCCUGUUUACUGGUCUUACUUUGAUCUACGGAGGGGUGAAGACCAGUGACAACCAGAAAAGAAAGACAAUCGUGAUAUACUGUUCACUGCAUUGCAUUUAGCGUUCUCUCUCUUCUUUCAUGAGAACAUCUUUGUAAAUAGCAAAAGCAAUUUUAAUUUUCAGAUACAGUUUGAGCCCUUGAACUCUUGUUGAUGGUAACAGAUAUGAAUCCCUCUCUUUGUAGCAGCUAUGUUGAUAGGUUUAUUCUUAUUUUAAUUAUUAUUUUUAUAUGAGUCUUUUUUAAAUUAAAGUGAAGAAGUGUCAUACUGACAUGCAUGGUAAACUACUUGGAUUUCAUGCCCUGACAGAUGCAAUUCAAAUAUGUAUAAAAGUAGCACACACUGCCUGCCCUGAAGUUUUCUUUGUGUCUAACUGUGAAACGUUUUAUAGUAAAGACUUUUGUGCUGUACAGAUGCUGCCUAUGCCUUUCAGCCUUCUUAGAAAUGUUUCUCAGACUUCAUUCUGACACUUUCAUACUGUGGUUUUGUUUGCCAUUUACAAUAAAAGUCUGUGAAAACCAUUGACUGUGGUACUUGUGUCAGUACAUGUGAGACAGAAGAAAGUGAGGUAGAUGCUGAGCUGCAGGGUGGAAACUGUGAUGUUAUUGACAGGUCAAUGGCAGGAAAUGGAAAGUGCAGUGCAUCUGGUUUUCUUUGACCUUAUUUUCAACACGAUGCACCUGUGUGUACUUCUGUUGACCAACAAACAAAACAGCAAGUAAUACUGUAAGUAACAUUUAGACAUGUAGAAUAAAUACACCAGGUUAUUUCUUAUAUAGAAAAAUAAAACUUAUUAUGUCAGCAAAUGUCUUCAGAUUUUGACUAAAUCUAAAGAGAUGGCCAACCACAAGCGCACCAUCAAGCUGUACUGGUCUCCUUCAUGCUCUACCAUGACCUAGAUUUUUCUCUCACACACCUCAUACAUAAGAACUUGCACCAUCUGUGACACCGUGCACUUUUUUGACCACAAGAAUGUUUAAAGUAAUUCUUUAUAGACCGUAAAAUCUGUUGUCCAAAACACAUGAAUGACCAGAAUGUAUUUUGCUUUCUCAAACAUUUUUUGUGAUGGUGAUCUUGGUGUGAUUGGAUAUUUAGACUGAUAUUGUAUAGGUUUGCUUGUUCAAAUG